rnacentral:misc_RNA from 1 species
GAUGAAGAACGCAGCGAAAUGCGAUAAUUAAUGUGAAUUGCAGAAUUCCGUGAAUCAUCGAGUCUUUGAACGCACAUUGCGCCUCAUGGCAUUCCGUGAGGCAUGCCCAUCUCAGCGUUAGAAAAUAUUCUCAAAUUUUAGUUUUGUGCUAAAAUUUGGAUCAUGUCAAGGAAGCUAUUACUAUUAUUGUGAUCGCUCUUUGGAAAUUGAUAGGUCUUUGAGUUGCUACUCAUAGAACGUGAUGAAUCUUUCUUCGUUCUAUUGUAAUUCACUCUGGUAGUGCUAAAACUUGUAUGCCUGUGGCAUAUCUUGUAAUUUGACCUGAGAUUGGGUAGGGAUACCCGCUGAACUUAAGCAUAUCAAUAAGCGGAGGA